UUUGAUUUGGGUCACCCAUCUCUCAAAUUCGGAUCGUAUAUAUUCUCUUUCUCAUACCACACCACGUAUUACAUCCACUUUCCUGAAACCCUAAAUCCCAAAAUACCGAUUCUCCUUCGAUUGUUCUUCGCCGGUUCAUCAUUCUCAAUGGCCAGUGGGCGCUAGGGUUACGCCGUGAACCCUUGAUAACGACGGAAUUGCAUGAGACAAUCGAAGCUUUAUUCAUAUCACAAACCCUAUAGCUUAAUUUAUGAGAUUCAUUUUUCAAAGAUCGACGAUCUGUGGAUGCUUUUGGUUUCUGGAACGACUUUUGAAGAGAUCUCCACAUGGUGAACUCAUGCUUAUCAGUUAAUGGCGAAAAUAUGGGAUGUACUAACACCUAAGAUAAGAAGAAAGGCAUUGUCUUGUGUUAUUAUGGCGAGGCUAUGGCUGAAAAGAAAUGAUAAAGUAUUUAGGGGUGGAAACUGCACAACAGGGAGGAUGCUUCAAGACAUAAAAGAAACUACAUAUCUGUGGUUAAGGAGCAGACCAAAAAUUGAGAAUAUAACUUUAUUGGGUUGGGUUAUUGGUGGAAUAAAUGUAAUAUGUGACUGAAUUCUUUUAUGUACUACUCUCCCAGUAUCUUGCUGGUAGGGUCCUUUGGUUUUGUUGAAUAAACGGCAACACAUUUGUGUGGAGGGUGGUCCGUCUUCAUUAGUAUGCAAGAUAUGUGAAGCGGAGGACGAAUCUGCUGCACAUGUUUUGCUGAAAUGUCGGUUUGCUGGUGCAAUCUGGACACACACAGGUACUCGGGUGGAUGAACGGAAACAUGGGUCAAAAGGAGUAAUUUUUUGGUACAAGUUA
rnacentral:lncRNA from 1 species